UAGGGAAUCUUCCACAAUGGACGCAAGUCUGAUGGAGCAACGCCGCGUGAGUGAAGAAGGUUUUCGGACCGUAAAGCUCUGUUGUUGGUGAAGAAGGAUAGAGGUAGUAACUGGCCUUUAUUUGACGGUAAUCAACCAGAAAGUCACGGCUAACUACGUGCCAGCAGCCGCGGUAAUACGUAGGUGGCAAGCGUUGUCCGGAUUUAUUGGGCGUAAAGCGAGCGCAGGCGGAAGAAUAAGUCUGAUGUGAAAGCCCUCGGCUUAACCGAGGAAUUGCAUCGGAAACUGUUUUCUUGAGUGCAGAAGAGGAGAGUAGAACUCCAUGUGUAGCGGUGGAAUGCGUAGAUAUAUGGAAGAAUACCAGUGGCGAAGGCGGCUCUCUGGUCUGCAACUGACGCUGAGGCUCGAAAGCAUGGGUAGCGAACAGGAUUAGAUACCCUGGUAGUCCAUGCCGUAAAACGAUGAGUGCUAAGUGUUGGGAGGCUUCCGCCUCUCAGUGCUGCAGCUAACGCAUUAAGCACUCCGCCUGGGGGAGUACGACCGCAAGGUUGAAACUCAA
rnacentral:rRNA from 1 species